rnacentral:pre_miRNA from 13 species
UGGACAGCCGGCCCCGCCAACCCAGUGUUCAGACUACCUGUUCAGGAGGCCGUCAAUGUGUACAGUAGUCUGCACAUUGGUUAGGCUGGGCUUGGGCAAGCG